rnacentral:rRNA from 1 species
CCCGCUGAACUUAAGCAUAUCAAUAAGCGGAGGAAAAGAAACUAACAAGGAUUCCCCUAGUAACUGCGAGUGAACCGGGAAAAGCUCAAAUUUUGAAUCUGGCGGUCUUCAGGCCGUCGCGAGUUGUAAUCUAGAGAAGCGCCUUCCGCGCUGGACCGUGUAUAAGUUUCCGGGAAGGAAACGUCGUAGAGGGUGAGAAUCCCGCCUUUGACACGGACUGCCAGGGCUAUGUGAUGCGCUCUCGACGAGUCGAGUUGUUUGGGAAUGCAGCUCAAAUAGGGUGGUAAAUUCCAUCUAAAGCUAAAUACAGGCGAGAGACCGAUAGCGAACAAGUACCGUGAGGGAAAGAUGAAAAGAACUUUGGAAAGAGAGUUAAACAGUACGUGAAAUUGUUGAAAGGGAAACGCUUGAAGUCAGUCGCGUCGACCGAGACUCAGCCUCGCCUUGGCUUGGUGUACUUCUCGGCUGACGGGUCAGUGUCAAUUUUGGGCCUCGGAUAAUGACAAGGGAAAGGUGGCACCUUUAUAGGUGUGUUAUAGUCUCCUGUCGGAUGCGAGGGUCGGGAUUGAGGAACUCAGCACGCGCCUUUUGGUGUCGGGGCUUCGGCCUACGCUACGUGCUUAGGAUGCUGGCAUAAUGGCUUUAAACGACCCGUCUUGAAACACGG